ensembl:lncRNA
GAGGUUGUUUUUAAAUGUGCUAUAUAAAUAAAAUUGAACUUGAACUUGAACUUAACGGUGUAGCCCGCAUGAUACCGUCACCGUAGGAGAUGCGAAUCGCCAAACGUUUGGACCAACCUUCUCCCUGUAGCUCUCUCAUGGCCCAACGGCUAACUAGCUAGCUAAACAUACAACUAAUCUACCAACUCACGUUCAUAAUGUCAAUCAAACGAGCCGAGUCAUUGUCUCAUAAGACGUUUGGCAACCUGAGAAGUCGCCCCCUGCUGGCCAGUGGAGAGAAUGCAGCUUUAAGACCCUUGUUGCCGCAUGGUGUUCGUACCUAAAAGUUGAGAUAUUUUAAAUUAAAUGUUAAAAUGAGCUGUUUUUGUCUGUCAACAGCGUCACAGUUGAAGGAUGGUGUGACACACGGACACACGGACGGACAGCCAGAGGUCACCACUCAGAGCCAGAUCAUGGCUCCCAUGUCUCUCCUUUUCCUGGGCCUCCUCCUCUCCUUCCUCCAUCCCACAGAUGCCCAGACCGUCAUUGGUUCCUCGUCCUCGUUCUCUCUUCUGGACCCGCCCGUAAAUUUGUCACCUCCACCUACCAAGCAGAGCGCUAGAUUCUGGCCUUCUCUGCCGCCCAAAGGGCGCAGCGACGUGCCCAUCAGAGCCGCCGCUCCAGAUAGACAGACGACCACCGAUGCAGCGCAGCAGGGCAGGAGAUCACAGUCCAGCCCUCCUUUUGUAUCUGCCCACUCAACGCAGAAGAACCUCAGCAGCGGGCCAGUUUUACCCCACCCAACUGCCUCCAGGCCCAGGACUGAUACCGCCAGCUUAGCGAUCAGCCGGGCCUCUUUAAAGGGUGACGCUACUGUGAGGAGCUCAACUCCUCCUGUCCCCACUUUGCCGUUCGCCGCCGUCUCUGGGUCCGCGGGCGACGAGCCAGCGGCUGCGUGGAAUCCAUCGCUCAAAGAAUCGGAGGGUGACGAUUUGCCGGAGUUGGGAUCCGGAAGCGUUCCGACGGCGACGCCCGUGAACGAGGAAUCCCCCGCGCCCCCGACGACCGUGUUUGAUGAAAUGGCUCAGCACCAGCCCCAGGCGCAGACGGCGACGUCCGAAGAGCUCGACGUCGAAACACCGCCGCCGCCGACGGAGCCGCAACUGUCCGGGCUCACGACAGCCGGCAAAACCUCCACGUCGCCACAGACCGAGACCAGAGCGCCACCUCGGGCCGCAGCGUCAACAGGUAAACUGACAGAGAGCGCUUCCACCUCCACCUCUACCUCUACCUCUACCUCCACCUCCACCUCUACCACAUCAGCCAGACCCGCUGUGAGCGCUGAACGGCCAGCGGGCACCACGACGCAGCGAGCCGCAACCACGUCUACACCCGGUACGCUCGCUGCCACGCGGGAGGCCGCGAGAACCUCCGGCAGGACAUCACGUCGCCCAAACAAAAGCGCCCAACCGGGAAGAAGCACAACGGCACCGACGGCCCGGCCAGGUGAGAAGUGGAGAUCUCUUCUUUUUUUCUUUUUUUUCAGUGUUUUUCAAGCCUGUCUGAUGAUUUGAAAUGGAAUUAUUUGUGCAGCUGGAACUUUUUCACUUUCUUCAAAGGAGGAGGAGGAUGGGGGGGGGCAGAGGGACUUUUCCGUGGAAAGUGGGGCGGUUGUUGUGUGGGGCAGACGCGGCGAGGGAAGAACCUACGGGCAGGAGGUGUGUGUGGGGGGUUAGGGUCUGGGAAGGAGGCAGUUGGGAGGGUAGGUGGGGGGGAUUGAUGUGGGGGGGGGGGGGGGGAGGGAAGAAAAGGUGCUGGCGUAGAAAUGCAGGGAGUUUAAUGAAAACCAGAUGCACGGAGACGGGAUGAAGGGAGGGGAGAAAAAGACGUGGAUGGAAAAGGAAAAAGCAUGACACACGCGUGAGCGUCUCUUAGAGACCACCAGAAUAACACGACAAUGACUUUCAAACACUCAGCCUCCCAGGAGCACUUUAAAAAAAAAAGGUUCUUUGGCAGGUCAACUUAUUCAUCUUGUUAAUAUCCUGCAGCCAGCGAAUACCAGCUGUAUUUUCCGAGGAUUCACUGGGGCAGACGGACGACGGCGAUGUGUGUGCGUACCUUUUUAAUACCAUCCAGUCCUGAGGCUGACCCACUAAGAGGUGGACCCACUAAGAUGUGGACCCACUAAGAGGUUGACCCGCCUCAGGAUCACUCUUACACCUCAAAAGUCGGUUCAAAAUUGGGUUCAAAAAGGUCUCCUGACUCUGCACCACUGGACCCUACGGAGUAUUUUGGACUGUUUUUAAAUGAUGUCUGGCAUGGAAUUUUGAUAAUAUCCGUCGGGGUCAUAAACACGCGAAGGUGUGUCGUAUGAGAUGGAAAAGAAUGUUUUUCUUUCUUUUUUUGCUCAUUGCCCCUUGUGGCCAUUUUAAAGCAGCGUGAGCAGGGUGUGCAAAAGAGAAAGCUCAAGGAAAGCAGUAAGUGCAUCCAGCUGUGAAACGUGAUCAGCACAUCUGGAAUGUGUCUGGAUCUUGCUCCUGUAAGAAGAAGUAAAAAAAAAAAAGGGGGGGGUUUUAGGGAAGGAAGUAAAACAUAUCUUUAUAUAAAUAAAGGAGUGUGUCUGUGAUGUGCGUCCAGCAGCCGCCUGUGUGAGUCUGACAUUGAAGAGUGUGUUACAGGAGGGAACCAGGAACUGAAAACACAUGUUGGAGUGAGUCAUUAGUCCUGUCAGCUUUAUGAAAGUCUCCUACACGGUGACGACAGGUUUAACGUCCUCCCGGCAGCCCAUCGUGUGCUUCCACCAUCCAUCCAGUCCAAAAGUUAACAAAACAAUUAAAGGAGGAUACUCUUUAGCUGCACCUGCUUUAUUAUGUACCUUUUUAAAUACUUUACUUUUCUGCUUUGUUCAUCAUCGUCAGUUCGCGAUGCUCGGCGUGUCCUUUUUCUUGUGCUGUGCGUUUUAUCCACACGAGUGAUAAAUGGCCCCACGAUUAACGCUGUUGGGUGUUUCCAAGGUUGUGCGAGUGGAUAAGGCGCAGUUGCCUUGAGCAAACUGAAGUGUGUGUGCGGGAGCUCAUGAAAGAGAGGCGACGUGUUUUUGGAAAAAAGGUGGAUUUUGCAUCAGAUUUUGUAUUAACCUGCAGAAGUGAGAAGCGUAGUUGGGCUAUUUGGGUUAUUUUACGGUAUAAUACCGUAAAUGUUUUCUAUGGUACACUGCCGUAGAAUACAGUAUGUUACCGUUUAAUGGAUUACUGUAUUUUACCGUAAACUUGAACUAAUUUUACUGUGAAUUAACUGCAAUUUACUAGCAGUCGACUCUAGUAACUUGUUGUAUUUACAGUGCCCUUCCGUAAUAUACGGCAUGUUGCCGUAUAUUGGAUUACAGUUUGUUACCAUAGGAUUACUGUUUUUGUGUUAUAAAUACCAGAAGUGUACCGUUUACUUAUAACCGUAUACUUUUGCAUUUAAUUCCCCACAAAUUAUAGAAAGACAACCAAACUCAUUUCGGUCAUAGUGGUUGGAGUUCAUUAGAUGCCUUUAAGACAAAAAUGUUAGACAUUUGUAACCAAGAACAAAACAUAAAAUAUGCCAAAUAAGAAAAUGAAUCAUAGAAUUAUUAGGAACAAGGUAAACUAACUGCAACAAUACGCUAUGGAACACUUUCAAUUGACCGCAGCAACGGCUGGCGUCCUUAAUCCUCUGUAAAACAAACCAAAAUAAAAUAUUUAGAAACACUGUCAUUGGUAAAAUAUUAAAAUUACAAAGAUGAGGAAGACAACAAGAUGUACGGAAAGAGAAUGUUAAUCAUGCCAGGCUAAUAAUACUUACCAACGUUACUUGGAGAGACGAGGCAAUGAGAAACUCCUCCGAUGUUGAACGGCACUGACAGGCGUUCUGGAUGAACUGAGACUACGCGUCUGAUGUCACGUUCAGGAGCAGUCGUUUAGGAUAAAAGUGACGGCUGCAUGUAUAGUGACGUCCUGUAAGUCAAAGACAUCGUUGUCUCAUGACAUCUCAUGAGAUACUAUCUCAUUAAGAUGACUUACAGGACCUGUUUUUCAGUGGCUGACGUGGGCUUCCAUACAUUAACCUACAAAAGACGUAGAUGGAUUGUGAUUCACUGCACUUGUAUGUGUAUUUCCACCACUUCAUAAAAUAUAUGUAACAUGCAGUUGAAUUACGGUAUUCUGCUAUUAUCGUAAAUUGACAGCUUUAACUAUUCAUGACAUUGGCCGUUAAUUUACAAGCGAGGGAUGGAAAUUUAACUGUAUGUUACAGUUAUUAUGACAUACUGUAAGAUACCGUUAGAAAUGCACCGUAAAUUUACAGCAAUUUGUUAGAGUGUUCAUUUAGAUGUUGUCUCUCACUCUACAAUCUGAUCUAAUUAAUCCAGAUAAUUGCUACUCAGUUAUUCUGAGGAGAUUUGCUCUGCACAACGUCCUCUAGAAACUAGAAACUGUGUAAUGUUAGAAAAAGAUUUAUGGCAUGAUAUGUUAUAACAUGACCUUCAGGACAUAAUUAUCUUCUUCCAAUGCUUGAAGUCUUAGCUUGAUUAUUCAAAUGCGUAAACAUUCUCGUCACUCUUCAACCUAGUAGCUGUUUUAUUAUAUAAAUAUGGAUAUAAAAUGUUGUGAUUUGUAAUCUGUAUGUCUGGGGUUUGGAUGUUAUUUCUAUAAGACAUCCUUUGGGACACUGAUGAGACACAUGGAGCUGAUUGUUUCAGAAAGGAAAGCGCAAAGGACGUGAUUUUAUUCAACUGCUGUAUUUAUAUCAAACGUAGAACUGAGGCAUGAAUGUGUGUGUGUGCAGAGCUGAAGAACUGGAGACUCUGACGAUGUGCUACAACCCUCUAGUGGCUCUGAAUAGUACUUUGUUUCCUUUCAUCCUUAAGCUCUGCCUUUCAGAUGAAAAUCAUUUAUAGUGAUUAUACUAAAAACAUUUUGUUUUUUAUCUAAAAUCUCUGUUUGUCUUUUUGCAGUGAACUCUUCCUUCCUCGCCACCGGAGUCCCCCAAACAGGGUUAAGCCCCACGCAUCAGGCCGGGCCUGCUCAGAGUAACCGCUCCAUCCUCCUUGGACAUCCCCACCAAGCCCCCGCCUCUACGUCCACUCCAGCCCCCCCUCCCGGCGACCUCCCCCCCCCCCACCGGUACGCUCCUGUACUGGGGGGACCUGAGCCGGACGCUGGCCUUUGCCUGGGAGCUGCACGUCUACGGCUCGGCGAGUCUCUUCGUCCUCCUGUUCGCCGGAGCGGCCCUCGGCCUCACCCUGUCCCCCGGG